rnacentral:tRNA from 3 species
GCGCCUGUAGCUCAGCUGGAUAGAGCAACGGCCUUCUAAGCCGUGGGUCGCAGGUUCGAGUCCUGCCGGGCGCGCCA